rnacentral:misc_RNA from 1 species
UUAAGUUCAGCGGGUAUCCCUACCUGAUCCGAAGUCAAACCUAAAAUAGGGGGUUGCUGGCAGGCAUCCAUCGGGGUCCUAUAGCGAGGGUAUUUACUACGCUCAGGGCCCGGUGGCACCGCCACUGCUUUUGAGGCGCGCCCGGGGGCGUCGCCCAAGACCAGCCUGGCUGGAUUGGUUAUUAUGACGUUCGAACAGGC